UCCAGGCUUCAGAGAGAGAGAGAGAGAGAGAGAUCUUUCCAGGCAAGCACAAUGCCCUCCAUCAAGACGUUUGGAUGUACAAAUGUUUGAAUUAUGGCAUGUAGGUCACUUCCACAAAGAGGACAACUAUUUCUGAAUCAUCUUCCAUGACCAAAGAGUGAGGCACAGCCCAUGGGGCUUCCAAGUCCACCUGUACAGCUUUUUAAAGCCUUCCAGACAUCAGCAACUACUACUUCUUCCUUGUUUAUAGAAAGACUUUUAAGGGUGACAUCAACCAUAAUAAAAUGAUACUGCAAAGAGAA